UACGUAGGGUGCAAGCGUUAAUCGGAAUUACUGGGCGUAAAGGGAGCGUAGGCGGACUGUUAAGUUAGAGGUGAAAGCCCAGGGCUCAACCUUGGAAUUGCCUUUGAUACUGAAGAUCUUGAGUUCGGGAGAGGUGAGUGGAACUGCGAGUGUAGAGGUGAAAUUCGUAGAUAUUCGCAAGAACACCAGUGGCGAAGGCGGCUCACUGGCCCGAUACUGACGCUGAGGCACGAAAGCGUGGGGAGCAAACAGG
rnacentral:rRNA from 1 species